CCUACGGGAGGCAGCAGUGGGGAAUAUUGCACAAUGGGCGAAAGCCUGAUGCAGCGACGCCGCGUGAGGGAUGACGGCCUUCGGGUUGUAAACCUCUUUCAGCAGGGAAGAAGCGAAAGUGACGGUACCUGCAGAAGAAGCGCCGGCUAACUACGUGCCAGCAGCCGCGGUAAUACGUAGGGCGCAAGCGUUGUCCGGAAUUAUUGGGCGUAAAGAGCUCGUAGGCGGCUUGUCACGUCGGAUGUGAAAGCCCGAGGCUUAACCUCGGGUCUGCAUUCGAUACGGGCUAGCUAGAGUGUGGUAGGGGAGAUCGGAAUUCCUGGUGUAGCGGUGAAAUGCGCAGAUAUCAGGAGGAACACCGGUGGCGAAGGCGGAUCUCUGGGCCAUUACUGACGCUGAGGAGCGAAAGCGUGGGGAGCGAACAGGAUUAGAUACCCUGGUAGUCCACGCCGUAAACGUUGGGAAACUAGGUGUUGGGUCGACGACUACCUACCGUCGGUCGGUCGGCCGCCGACGACGUACGUACACUUAACGUUACCCGUCCGUCGGGAGGUACGGCCGGCCGACGGACGUAAACGUAACGUAAAGUAAGUUAGUUACGGUCGUUGAGACGNGCGACGGACGACGACGAGGAGGAGG
rnacentral:rRNA from 1 species